rnacentral:rRNA from 1 species
UAAGGAAAAAGGGAUGGGACGCGCCUGUAUACUGAUUAUAUUGAAUGGCCGCGGAAUUUUGACCGUGCGAAGGUAGCAUAAUCAUUAGUCUUUUAAUUGAGGGCUUGUAUGAAUGGUUGGACAAAAAAUAAGCUGUCUCAGUUAUAAAAAUUGAAUUUAACUUUUAAGUGAAAAGGCUUAAAUAAUUUAGGGGGACGAUAAGACCCUAUAAAGCUUUACAAUUAUUUAAUUAAAUUAUAAAUUGUUAGUAUAAACUUAAUUUAAUUGAUGUUUGUUUCGUUGGGGCGACGAGAAUAUAAUUUAGUAACUGUUCUUUUAUAGUUUGUUACAAUAAUUUUUGGUAAAAAAUUGAUCCUUUAUUAAAGAUUAAAAGAUUAAGUUACUUUAGGGAUAACAGCGUAAUCUUCCUUGAAAGUUCAUAUCGACAGGAAGGGUUGCGACCUCGAUGUUGAAUUAAGAUUUCUCUAUGGCGCAGCAGUUAUAGUGAGAAGGUCUGUUCGACCUUUAAAUUCUUACGUGAUCUGUUUUCAAAACCGGA